ACGAACGCUGGCGGCGUGCUUCACCCCUGCCAGUCGAACGAGAGCGUAGAGAAAGCUUGCUUUUUCUACAAUCUAGUGGCAAACGGGUGAGUAACGCGUAAACAACCUGCCCUACGGAUGGGGACAACAGCUGGAAACGGCUGCUAAUACCGAAUACGUUCCGAAAGUCGCAUGACUAUCGGAAGAAAGGAUGGCCUCUAUUUAUAAGCUAUCGCCGGAGGAGGGGUUUGCGUCUGAUUAGCUAGUUGGAGGGGUAACGGCCCACCAAGGCGACGAUCAGUAGCCGGUCUGAGAGGAUGAACGGCCACAUUGGAACUGAGACACGGUCCAGACUCCUACGGGAGGCAGCAGUGGGGAAUCUUCCGCAAUGGGCGAAAGCCUGACGGAGCAACGCCGCGUGAGUGAAGACGGCCUUCGGGUUGUAAAGCUCUGUUAUACGGGACGAAUAAUCUUGUGGUUAAUACCCAUGAGAAGUGACGGUACCGUAAGAGAAAGCCACGGCUAACUACGUG
rnacentral:rRNA from 1 species